GCUAGUUGUAGUAGUGCAAGCCUAUAGUCCCAGCUACUCAAGCAGCUGAGGUGGGAGAAUUGCUUGAAUCCAGGAAUUCCGGACUGUAGUGCAUUCUGCCACAUGGAUGCCUGCACUAAGUUAGGCAUCAAUAUGGUGUCUUUCCUGGAAGUGUGGGACCACCAGGUUGCCUACAGAGGGGUUAGCCAGUCCGGGUCAAAAACAAAGCAGGUCAAAACUCCCAUGCUAAUCAGUAGUAGCAUUGUGCCUGUGAAUAACCACUGUACUCUGGCCUGGGCAACAUAAUAAGACCAUCAAGUCU
rnacentral:SRP_RNA from 1 species